CGAAACCGAUAGCGAACAAGUACCGUGAGGGAAAGUUGAAAAGUACUCUGAAUAGAGAGUUAAAUAGUACGUGAAACCGCUUAGGGGUUAAGCCCGAUGAACCCGAAUAUCUGAUGUGAGAAAUUCAAUAUUAUUCAUUGAAUUUUUUUCUUCAUUUUCAAUGAAUUAUAUGCACUUUUCUCAUAGUAAGACAUUGUAAUCCAUUGAUAUUAUAUCUUUAUUUGUUUAAAGAUGAUUUAACAUACGGACAAAAUGUUUAUGAUUAUUCUAUCAAUGAUGUGUUUUACAUGUCAUAUGAAUAAAAUCGUUUUGUACCUGUUUAAAUAGUCGAUGGAUUUUUCAAUUAAAAUCAUGCUUGCAAUUUAUUUUGCGUUUCGUAUCGUUAAUUUUUAAUUGAUGAUAGCAGAAAUGGCAUGUAUUUGAUUAACAAUGCGAUAGAUUUGGGAUACUUUCAGGACCCGUCUUGA
rnacentral:rRNA from 1 species